AUUUAGAAUACAAUUGCGAAACUCUAUAAAUUACAGUCCUUUUCAUUUACAUGCUUAAUACAGCUAUUAGUAAUUUUAAUAUAUUUGUAUUUCGACUCGGUCGGGUAUAUAGGGCUCUUCUUUCCUCCUAUUACCUGAAAAAAAAAAGUGGCAGGAGUGAGCGCUAAACUCAGUGAGUAGGGUUAGAUAACCCUCUCAUCCCACACAAUCAGACAAAUGCAUAAAUAAGUCAAUUUAGUCAUUCGACUAGUUAUAUGAUCAUGUAGUUUAUCACAAAAAUGAUAAGACAACAGCAAUCACAAAUAUUAACACCUUCUCAUAAUCACAUCACGUGAAAAUUGGUCAGUAGCAUCACCAAAACUCCCGACGAGCCGUCCUCACACAUGGCCUGCCCUCUCAUCACGUGUGCACCAGAGAGCCGAUCCCCAAUACAUGGCUGACCGGUCUCAACCUCACUUGACCAGCCCUCUCAUUUUUUUAUACUCUCUUUUCUUUUCCAUAUCAACAGGUGGUCACCCUGUAGUUUUCCAUAUCAUAUUUCAUCAUAUGCACAUGGGGGUGCCGAUCUCCCCAUACAUGGCUGACGAUAUCAUAGACCGCCCUCACAAACCCAACGGUGAUCCAAUUCAUCCCAAUUCCACACAAGCAAGGCAUCCAUAAAGCACAUUACAACUAAUCAAACUAUAUUCAAUAGCAACAAUUAAUGCAACACAAAUUAACAAAUUACUAAAUAAUGCAUGUCUAGCAUUUAGCCGUGUAUGCAUGGAUGUAAAUGCAGGUGGAUAAUGUGAAUUAUCUAACACUACUUACAGUUUCUCAUUGUUCUUAAAAGGGCUAUCUUUAUUACUGCACUCUUCCAGCAUUGUCUUAACAUUUUGGAACUUUAUAAACAUCUUAAAAAAAAAAAAAAAUUCUAAAUAAGAGUUCUAAUUUGAGAAAUGUAUUUCACAUUCAUUUAUUAAUUUUUUGGUUACUAGUCGCUUAUCUAACUUAUUGAACUAACUAACUAACUAUAUAUAUAUAUAUAUACACACACGUUGUUCCUUUAUUUAUUUAUUUACUCUAAUUUAUAACUUUUAACAAAGCUUCUAGUUAGUUGGUAAGUAAUGUUUGAUAAUAAUAAUAAUAAUAAUAAUGGAAAUAGUAAUACUAAAAGUUUUAAUCGUUACCACCUAUUAAUGAUAUAACUAAUUUAGUUCUUUAAUAAGUGUUUUGCCGAAAAUCCGGCAAUAUUUUCUCUGUAAACUAGACUAUCCCAAUUUUAUAGAUCACACACAUUAACACACAGCCCAUUCAUCAAGCAAAUUCUUAAUCAAAGCCCAUCCUCCGCUAUAUCAUCAUUAGAAUAAUUGUAAAAUAGGGAAAUAAAUUCAAAUUAAUUUCUAAAGGAAAAAUGUAGAAUUGAGUUAUAAGGUUUACCAAUGAAAAAUUGGAUUAAAUAUUUGACAUCAACAUGAAGAGGAGAAGAUUCUGCCUCUGGAGCCUUGCCGGAGCAUCUUGGCCGGUCACUGGAUUGCCGCCACCGACCACCGUGCGCGGUGGUCGGAAAAUCCAACUGUACCCAAAAAUUGCAAACAUACAUCAAUUUGUUUGUUAUGAUGAGAGGAUCACUAAUAUGUGAUCAAUUUAACAUGGGUUUUAACCGUUUGGUCAAAAACUGACCUAGAAGGAUCAGUGGUCACAGCCUAGGAUUUUUCGAUUCCGGCUAUAUCAGUUGGCGGGAAGGCCACCAAAUGAAAGAGGGAGAAGAGAGGAAUCGAUCGACACUUACCUUGAAGCCUCAAGUUGCUGAAAACGGUGUGAAUGGCCGAAAAAGUUGCUGCGACGGUGCCGAACCAUUUCAGUCAAGUUUUCUCUCGAUUCGGGCUCAAAUUGCGCAAACCAAGUCUUG
rnacentral:lncRNA from 1 species